GUCGAACGGUGAAGCCCCGCUUGCGGGGUGGAUCAGUGGCGAACGGGUGAGUAACACGUGAGCAACCUGCCCCUGACUCUGGGAUAAGCGCUGGAAACGGCGUCUAAUACUGGAUACGAGACGUGAUCGCAUGGUCAACGUUUGGAAAGAUUUUUCGGUUGGGGAUGGGCUCGCGGCCUAUCAGCUUGUUGGUGAGGUAAUGGCUCACCAAGGCGUCGACGGGUAGCCGGCCUGAGAGGGUGACCGGCCACACUGGGACUGAGACACGGCCCAGACUCCUACGGGAGGCAGCAGUGGGGAAUAUUGCACAAUGGGCGCAAGCCUGAUGCAGCAACGCCGCGUGAGGGAUGACGGCCUUCGGGUUGUAAACCUCUUUUAGCAGGGAAGAAGCGAGAGUGACGGUACCUGCAGAAAAAGCACCGGCUAACUACGUGCCAGCAGCCGCGGUAAUACGUAGGGUGCAAGCGUUAUCCGGAAUUAUUGGGCGUAAAGAGCUCGUAGGCGGUUUGUCGCGUCUGCUGUGAAAUCUGGGGGCUCAACCCCCAGCCUGCAGUGGGUACGGGCAGACUAGAGUGCGGUAGGGGAGAUUGGAAUUCCUGGUGUAGCGGUGGAAUGCGCAGAUAUCAGGAGGAACACCGAUGGCGAAGGCAGAUCUCUGGGCCGUAACUGACGCUGAGGAGCGAAAGGGUGGGGAGCAAACAGGCUUAGAUACCCUGGUAGUCCACCCCGUAAACGUUGGGAACUAGUUGUGGGGUCCAUUCCACGGAUUCCGUGACGCAGCUAACGCAUUAAGUUCCCCGCCUGGGGAGUACGGCC
rnacentral:rRNA from 1 species